rnacentral:pre_miRNA from 1 species
UUCCUACUCCCUCCGUCCGAAAAUACUUGUCAUCAAAAUGGAUAAAAAGGAUGUAUCUAGAGCUAAAAUAUGUCUAGAUACAUCUCCUUUUAUCCAUUUUGAUGACAAGUAUUUUUGGAUGGAGGGAGUACAUG